UGGGGAAUAUUGGACAAUGGGCGCAAGCCUGAUCCAGCCAUACCGCGUGGGUGAAGAAGGCCUUCGGGUUGUAAAGCCCUUUUGUUGGGAAAGAAAAGCAGUCGGUUAAUACCCGAUUGUUCUGACGGUACCCAAAGAAUAAGCACCGGCUAACUUCGUGCCAGCAGCCGCGGUAAUACGAAGGGUGCAAGCGUUACUCGGAAUUACUGGGCGUAAAGCGUGCGUAGGUGGUUGUUUAAGUCUGUCGUGAAAGCCCUGGGCUCAACCUGGGAAUUGCGAUGGAAACUGGGCGACUAGAGUGUGGCAGAGGAUAGUGGAAUUCCUGGGGUAGCAGUGAAAUGCGUAGAGAUCAGGAGGAACAUCCGUGGCGAAGGCGACUGUCUGGGCCAACACUGACACUGAGGCACGAAAGCGUGGGGAGCAAACAGG
rnacentral:rRNA from 1 species